CAUAACGGAGGAAAAGAAACCAACAGGGAUUGCCUCAGUAACGGCGAGUGAAGCGGCAAAAGCUCAAAUUUGAAAUCUAGCACUUUCAGUGUUCGAGUUGUAAUUUGAAGAAGGUAACUUUGGUUUUGGCUCUUGUCUAUGUUCCUUGGAACAGGACGUCACAGAGGGUGAGAAUCCCGUGCGAUGAGAUGCCCAAUUCCAUGUAAAGUGCUUUCGAAGAGUCGAGUUGUUUGGGAAUGCAGCUCUAAGUGGGUGGUAAAUUCCAUCUAAAGCUAAAUAUUGGCGAGAGACCGAUAGCGAACAAGUACAGUGAUGGAAAGAUGAAAAGAACUUUGAAAAGAGAGUGAAAAAGUACGUGAAAAUGUUGAAAGGGAAGGGCUUGAGAUCAGACUUGGUAUUUUGCGUUCCCUUCCUUUUUGGUUGGGUUCCUCGCAGUUUACUGGGCCAGCAUCGGUUUGGAUGGUAGGAUAAUGACAUUGGAAUGUAGCUUUACUUCGGUGAAGUGUUAUAGACUUUGUUGAUACUGCCUAUCUAGACCGAGGACUGCGUCUUUGACUAGGAUGCUGGCGUAAUGAUCUUAAGCCGC
rnacentral:rRNA from 1 species